rnacentral:lncRNA from 1 species
UGUUUUUUUAUUUUUUGCGGGGAAGAUAUUGGUGUGUUUUGUGAGGGAAUAACAUGGUCCAUGCGUGGGAAUUCUUUAUGAGUAUUGUAAAAAUGAAAAACACGACCAAUUGGACACUCUUUUUAUUUACUGUUUCAAUUUUCUUGAAGGUUUGAACAUUUUCAAUAACAAAAAUGAUGUGCGCAUCACAAUGAUACGCAGGCCGAC